rnacentral:lncRNA from 1 species
CACCCAGAGAUAAGUGUUGCUUCAAUAGGAGGUGAUGUAACAGCUGAACUGGGUAUUACAUAUGUAAGUUUGCAGUACACUGGUUAUCUUAAAGUGCAACACUAAACAGAGUUACACAACUUUACUGGCUCUCACUUUUCCUCACUUGCUCUCUCUUUUCCUCUCAGCUGGUCACUGAGGAAAAUCACUGUUGUGGGGCUGCUCUUGGUAUAAGUCGGAUUGCUGAAUUUCAAGGGAGGUGAAAGCCUCAAGUACUGGGUGAUCAUAUGACCAAGACUAAUGUUUUGCUCCUGCUGCUACUUCUAACAGCAAACCCUUCAAUCUUGGUUGGCAGAAGCUGGGACUAACAGUGGGAACUCAUCUCACUCCCCAGAUUCAAACCACCGACCUUUCAGUCAGCAAGUUCAGCAGCUCACCGGUGUAACCCGCUGCACCACCGGGGGCUCAAUAAUACCAAACCCUAUAUUUUGACUUCAACUGGAAACACACCAUAAAACCAUGCUAGAGGUCCACAAACACUUCUGGGGGAUAAUUUUUUGGAGUGUGGGUUGGGUUACUGAUCUGAAGGUUGGCGGUUCGAAUCCAUGAGAUGGGGUGAGCUCCCAUCUGGGGUGUGAGAGAAGCCUCCGGUAACACAUCCGGGCAUCCCCUGUCUCUGUAGAUGGCCAGUUCUCUCACAGCAGAAGCAACUUGCAGUAUGUUCUCAAGUUGCUUCUGACACAAUAAAAAAGAACCCUCCAAAAUGUAUGCUGUUAAUUCCUCUUUUGACUCCAUAGAUUGUUUGGGCAAGAAAAAGGUGAGCAUUAUAUAUUCAUUCAAAUGAGGUGAUCUAGGGAUUGUCCACACA